AGAGUUUGAUCCUGGCUCAGGAUUAACGCUGGCGGCGUGCAUGAAACAUGCAAGUCGAGCGCGGUGCGUGGGCUUCGGCUUGCGCAUCUAGCGGCGAACGGGUGAGUAACACGUGAGCAACCUACCUUCGAGUUCGGGAUAGCCCUGAGAAAUCAGGAUUAAUACCGGAUGUGGUCACGACUGGGCAUCCAGACGUGAGCAAAGGCUUCGGCCGCUCGAAGACGGGCUCGCGGCCUAUUAGCUUGUUGGUGGGGUAACGGCCUACCAAGGCGAUGAUGGGUAGCUGGUCUGAGAGGACGAUCAGCCACACUGGGACUGAGACACGGCCCAGACUCCUACGGGAGGCAGCAGUUAGGAAUCUUCCGCAAUGGGCGAAAGCCUGACGGAGCAACGCCGCGUGGGUGAUGAAGACCUUCGGGUUGUAAAGCCCUGUCGGAGGGGAAGAACACAAUGACGGUACCCUCCAAGAAAGCCCCGGCUAACUACGUGCCAGCAGCCGCGGUAAUACGUAGGGGGCGAGCGUUAUCCGGAUUUACUGGGCGUAAAGCGCGUUAAGGCGGCCGACAAAGUUGGUGGUGAAAUUUCAGGGCUCAACUCUGAAACUGCCUCCAAUACUGGUCGGCUUGAGUGCGAGAGAGGAAGGUGGAAUUCCCGGUGUAGUAGUGAAAUGCGUAGAUAUCGGGAGGAACACCAGUGGCGAAGGCGGCCUUCUGGCUCGCAACUGACGCUGUAGCGCGAAAGCGUGGGGAGCGAACGGGAUUAGAUACCCCGGUAGUCCACGCCCUAAACGAUGU
rnacentral:rRNA from 1 species